rnacentral:lncRNA from 1 species
GCAGGGUCUGAUCUCUGCACCCCGGGCCCCCGCGCAGACCCGCGGACGAGCGCUGGGUGGGGAUUUCAACCUGCUCCAGCUGAUGUGCGCGGGGUUUGCACCCCGGGGAGGCGAGGGAGAGAGUCCGGCCACGUCCUGCCAGGCCCCGCCCGCGCCCCCGCUGCCCUCCAGCGCGGAACCCAGGUCCCAGGAGACGCGAGGCGCCCAAGGCCCCGGGAUUCCGAGCCAGUCAACCCCGGGCCGCGACGCUCUGGGAACCACACCCGUCCAGGAAGGCACCUUGGCCAAAGCCGGCUCCUUCGCAGAUGACCCGGGCCAGGGUCCGAGCGCCAGGCUGUGACCCCGCGAGGCUGUUCCACGCUGGCCGCGAGAGACGGAGGGCAGGAGGGGCCCGAAUAGGACAGAGAGAGAGAGAGAGAGAGACAGAAGGAGGCGCACGCGCUCCCCAGGGACCGGGACGCGGUGGUGGGCGGGACCUCGCGGGGGUGGGGGGUGGUCGCAGGACCCAGAAGGCUCAGGACCUUUACGGAUAGGGAGGACCCCGCAGGGGGGAGCGGGGGAGCCCCACGCCCGGCGUCCUCCGGGUGCGAGGGUCUCGGGGAGUCCGAGCCCGGGCCCACGGCCUCUGUCCCGCGGCCACUACCUGCUGGGGGUCCCGGGCCUGGGCCACGCCGGGCUGCCCUCGGGGACUUGCUGCGGCCGUUGAGGGGUCUCCGCGCGCCGCGCAGACUCGCCUCCCAACCCGAGGGCCCGGGCGGCCGCCGCCCAGAGCGUCCAGCGGCAGCGUCUUGCUCUCGAAGGCGUCCUCCACGCAGCGGAACACGCAGCCAAGCUUGGGCCGGGCCAGAGGCCUCGCGGGCUCCUGAGGCUGCCGCGCGGUCACGGCAGGAGCGGGCGACAGAAUCCGGUCUCGGAGCCUCCUGUAGCGAGCCACAGGAGGGAGCCUCCCAGGUGGUCGACCGGAGCCAGGUGCUGCCAGGCACCCGACUGCAGAGCUUGCCCUCCAGGUGAUCUCGCAGUAUCGGUGUUCACAAGCCCUGUAAGGCACUCGGGGUAUCCUGAAGGCUACAGAUUCUGCAAGGGCAGAGACUUUAAGGAACAGCCAUAGUCCUUCUCCAGCUCAAAAUCUGGACCAUGGGCACAAGGUCGGGGCCCCCAGCCCCACGGGCACGAAGGCACCAGAACCUCGCUAAAAGCUGCAGGGCAGAACCCUCAUCAAUACCACCAUGGGUACCACGUGCAGACGUAGUCGUACAUAUGGAUCAGGAAACAGCAUUCUGAUUGAUGUCAAAACAGAGCCGGAGGAACAGGCCCCUGCCGUCUGUGUGUGCUGGAAAUUUCCACUGGGAUCUCAACUGUUUGGAAACAUAACUCAGUUGGCAAGGAAGACAAGAACCUUCCUGGGGUCCGGAACUCUGCCUGCUUCAGAAUCAACAGAUGAUGAAUGCCACUGGAAGGCUCGGGACCUACAGCCUCAGUUUCCAAAAAUGUGCAUGAGACAAGCAACCCCAGGGUUCUCACACAGGGUGAGCCGCUUGGGAGGGGGUGAGACCCUGCAGUCUGGAUCCUUGCUCUUCCCCAACACCGCCCCACAAAUACACAGAUUCCCAGCUGAUAGGACAUGGAGUGAGGGCCAAGCACAGGACCUUUCCCCAUAUGCUCUUUUGUCUGAGAAACUUUAGCCAAACAUUUUCAAACCAAACAGAAACAAAUGGCAGCCACUAACUCUGCUCACAGUCAAGGUAUUUUUUUCUUGAAGCUCUGAUUUGGGGAAAAUAUGAAACAGACCUUACCCAGACACAGGCUGUGCCUCCUCCUCCCUCUUCCUCCUCUACCCCCUUCAUGGGGUCUCUCUCAACUCUACAGAGGGGACCAGUGCUGUUAUCAACUCCCUGUCUGCCCAGGGCCGCCUCUGAGGUCAUCCUCUCCCCAGCCACCACGGCGGAGCCCCAUGUGGCUCACACGGAUGCUGGAAUGGUCCUCCCAUCCUGGGACAGUCCUCAGGCACGUGGUGCUCUGCUCUGGGUCACCCUCCUACUGAUUUUGGCUCUACAGCUCCCUAAUAAAUAAUAAAGGCAGAAGCCACUUUGAUGGUGCAGGUGGCAGGUGGGACAGUGAAGUGGGUGCACAGAAGCGGGUGCACAGGAGCAGGUUCACACACAACCAAAUGCACAGUGUGCACAGACACACACACUACCCAGGGCACAAGAGCAGGUGCACACAUACACGCACACUACCCAGGGCACAGGAGCAGGUGCACACACACAACCAAAUGCACAGUGUGCACACACACGCACUACCCAGGGCACAAGAGCAGGUGCACACACACGCACACUACCCAGGGCACAGGAGCAGGUGCGCACGCACAACCAAAUGCACAGUGUGCACACACACGCACACUACCCAGGACACAGGAGCAGGUGCACACACACCACCAAAUGCAGUGUGCACACACACACACUACCCAGGGCACAAGAGCAGAUGCACACACACCACGGCCAAAUGCACAGUGUGGACACACACACGCACACUACCCAGGACACAGGAGCAAGUGUAUACACACCAUGGCCAAAUGCACAGUGUGCACAGACAUGCACCCUACCCAGGGCACAGGAGCAGGUGCGCACACACGACCAAAUGCACAGUGUGCACACACACACACACUACCCAGGGCACAGGAGCAGGUGUAUACACACCACGACCAAAUGCACAGUGUGCACACACACAUGCACACUACCCAGGGCACAGGAGCAAGUGUAUACACACCAUGACCAAAUGCACAGGCACACUCCCCCCACACACUGGCAUGUGUGCACACACGUGCGCACACUUUCUGCCUGUUCUCCAUGGGUUCCUGGUUUCAUUUUGUAUCUGGUGGCGGCAGCUGUUCUCACAGGCCUCCACAGCGAUGCCCAGCUACCCUUUCUGAAAUCGGCUUCUCUAAUAAUGACAUCCCCUAUUAACGGCCCCAUGGCCAGGCUAGUAAAAGGAUCCAUUAUUGCUUUAACCAAGAUGGUUGCAUUAUAGAUUGCAAGACAGCUGGCCCGCAGGCUGUAAGCUGCUGGCUGAAAAGAAUAAAUUAGACAAUAGAGCAAUAAAGCGGGGAGGGGGACUCAUGGUUUCAAGUCAGUCGUUCAGUUUCUGAGAUUUUGUGCAAAUCACCCAGUAACAUUUGAGAAACACCUUCGCCCUUGGUAAAAACAGAAAGAUUCUAAACAAAGAGCAAAGAGAAAUAGCUCCAAAGCCAAUAGGAACCAGAAAAGAGGUUGGCAUCAUCUCCCAAAGUCGAAGAUUCCAACUCCUAAUGUGACCCAUGAGGAGUCGCGGCACCAGCGCAUCCGGAGACUCCACAGGAAUGUUCAAGAAGCAGCACUCGUAACAAGCAGAAGCCUGGAAAUAACCAAAUGUCCACCAGAGGGGAGGUAAAGCCCCAGCACGAGGUCACAGAUUGGAGGGUGCACAUGGCUGAAUCCCUGCAGAGUGAUUCCAAGCACAAACACCCAAAAAAAUGCCCGUUAACAAAGAUUUCAAACACAAUUAAAGAGUCUGCCUUUUGGAAA